GGAGGGAUACCCAAGUUGGCCAAAGGGGGCAGACUGUAAAUCUGUUGGCAACGCCUUCGAAGGUUCGAAUCCUUCUCCCUCCACCA
rnacentral:tRNA from 1 species